rnacentral:rRNA from 1 species
ACCUCGGGAAACUGAGGAUAAUGUUUCAUAGUUGAAAAGGCUUGGAAAAGUUUUUCAAUCAAAAGGAUAAGAAAAAUGGUUUUUAUCCGCUAUAGGAUAGGAUCGUGGUCGAUUAUGGUUGUUGGUGAGGUAAUGGCUCACCAAGCCGAUAAUCGAUAGGGGCCGUGAGAGCGGGAGCCCCGAGAUGGGUACUGAGACAACGACCCAGGCCUUACGAGGCGCAGCAGGCGCGAAACCUCCGCAAUACACGAAAGUGUGACGGGGUUACCCAAAGUGUUCAAUUUUGAACUGUGGUAGGUGAGUAAUGUCCCCUACUAGAAAGGAGAGGGCAAGGCUGGUGCCAGCCGCCGCGGUAAAACCAGCUCUUCAAGUGGUCGGGAUAAUUAUUGGGCUUAAAGUGUCCGUAGCCGGUCUAGUAAGUUCCUGGUAAAAUCGGGUAGCUUAACUAUCUGUAUGCUAGGAAUACUGCUAAACUAGAGGGCGGGAGAGGUCUGAGGUACUACAGGGGUAGGGGUGAAAUCUUAUAAUCCUUGUAGGACCACCAGUGGCGAAGGCGUCAGACUGGAACGUGCCUGACGGUGAGGGACGAAAGCCAGGGGAGCGAACCGGAUUAGAUACCCGGGUAGUCCUGGCCGUAAACGAUGCAUACUAGGUGAUGGCAUGGCCAUGAGCCGUGUCAGUGCCGUAGGGAAACCGUUAAGUAUGCCGCCUGGNAAGUACGGUCGCAAGGCUAAAACUUAAAGGAAUUGGCGGGGGAGCACCACAAGGGGUGAAGCCUGCGGUUCAAUUGGAGUCAACGCCGG